AACGAACGCUGGCGGCAGGCUUAACACAUGCAAGUCGAACGCCCCGCAAGGGGAGUGGCAGACGGGUGAGUAACGCGUGGGAAUCUACCCAUCUCUGCGGAAUAGCUCCGGGAACCUGGAAUUAAUACCGCAUACGCCCUACGGGGGAAAGAUUUAUCGGGGAUGGAUGAGCCCGCGUUGGAUUAGCUAGUUGGUGGGGUAAAGGCCUACCAAGGCGACGAUCCAUAGCUGGUCUGAGAGGAUGAUCAGCCACAUUGGUACUGAGACACGGCCCAAGCUCCUACGGGAGGCAGCAGUGGGGAAUAUUGGACAAUGGGCUCAAGCCCGAUCCAGCCAUGCCGCGUGAGUGAGGAAGGCCUUAGGGUGGGAAAGCUCUUUCACCGGUGAAGAUAACGACGGUAACCGGAGAAGAAGCCCCGGCUAACUUCGUGCCAGCCGCCGCCGUAA
rnacentral:rRNA from 1 species